GACGUAGGGGGCCAGCGUUGCUCGGAAUUACUGGGCGUAAAGGGUUCGUAGGCGGUGUGGCAAGUCGGGAGUGAAAUCUCUGGGCUUAACUCAGAGGCUGCUUCCGAAACUGCCGUGCUAGAGUGCAGGAGAGGCGAGUGGAAUUGCAGGUGUAGCGGUGAAAUGCGUAGAUAUCUGCAGGAACACCCGUGGCGAAGGCGGCUCGCUGGACCGCAACUGACGCUGAGGAACGAAAGCUAGGGGAGCAAACAGG
rnacentral:rRNA from 1 species